CGUGGACUUCCAGACCUGGGAGGUCGUCCAGCCCAGCUCCGACAGUGAGGUCGGUGGGGCUGAAGUGCCCGAGCGAGCCUGUGCUUCUGAGGAGGUGCCCACCCUGACCUCUGAGGAGCGGGGCGGCUUCAAGAAGUCCCGAGAUGUGUUCGGCCUGGACUUUGGCACCACCUCAGCCAAGCAGCCCGCCCAGCCUGCCUCGGAGCUGCCCAGCGGGAGGCUCUUCCACGCAGCUGCUGUCAUCUCGGACGCCAUGUACAUCUUCGGGGGCACGGUGGACAACAACAUCCGCAGCGGGGAGAUGUACAGUUCUCCUGUUACCCUAAAUGCACGCUGCACGAGGACUACGGGCGGCUGUGGGAGAGCCGCCAGUUCUGCGACGUGGAGUUCGUGCUGGGUGAGAAGGAGGAGUGCGUGCAGGGCCACGUAGCCAUUGUCACAGCGCGGAGCCGCUGGCUUCGCAGGAAGAUCACGCAGGCGCGGGAGCGGCUGGCCCAGAAGCUGGAGCAGGAGGCCGCCCCAGUUCCCAGGGAGGUCCCCGGCGUGGCUGCUGGUGGGGCCCGGCCGCCCCUGCUGCAUGUGGCCAUCCGGGAGGCCGAGGCCCGGCCCUUCGAGGUGCUCAUGCAGUUCCUCUACACCGACAAGAUCAAAUACCCACGGAAAGGUCCGCCUGGGUGGGGGUGGAGCAGGAUCGG
rnacentral:sRNA from 1 species